UACGUAGGGUCCGAGCGUUGUCCGGAAUUACUGGGCGUAAAGAGCUCGUAGGUGGUUUGUCGCGUUGUUCGUGAAAACUCACAGCUCAACUGUGGGCGUGCGGGCGAUACGGGCAGACUAGAGUACUGCAGGGGAGAACGGAAUUCCUGGUGUAGCGGUGAAAUGCGCAGAUAUCAGGAGGAACACCGGUGGCGAAAGGCGGCAUCCUGGGACCGGUAUUGACGCCUGAGGCGCGAAAGCCAGGGGAGCAAACGGGG
rnacentral:rRNA from 1 species